rnacentral:rRNA from 1 species
CACGUAGGGCGCGAGCGUUGUCCGGAAUUAUUGGGCGUAAAGAGCUCGUAGGCGGCCUGUUGCGUCCGCUGUGAAAGCCCGGGGCUUAACCCCGGGUCUGCAGUGGAUACGGGCAGGCUAGAGGUAGGUAGGGGAGAAUGGAGUUCCCGGUGUAGCGGUGAAAUGCGCAGAUAUCGGGAGGAACACCGGUGGCGAAGGCGGUUCUCUGGGCCUUACCUGACGCUGAGGAGCGAAAGCGUGGGGAGCGAACAGG